GGGGAUUCAGCUCAGUGGUAGAGCGCUUGCCUAGCAAGCGCAAGGCCCUGGGUUCGAUCCCCAGCUCCA
rnacentral:tRNA from 1 species